rnacentral:lncRNA from 10 species
UGAUGCUUCCACCCCAGCCCAGCACCACCUGGGCAGGAGAAGGAGCUGCUCCAGGCUAAGCGCACCCACGAGCCAGGUGCCCUACACAUGGGCACACCAGUGUGUGUGAAAAUCCUGGCUGCUGUGGCAAAGCACCACACACUGGGAGGAGACUGGGACCAAAAGUGUGAACAGACAAUUCCAAGGAGAAGAGGAGGAGGAGGAGGAAGAAGGCGAGGAAGAAGGACGAGGGGAAGGGGAAGAGGAGGAGGAAGAAGCAAAGGAAGAAGGAGAAGAGGAAGAAGGAGCCAGGAGACUCUCCAGGCAUUUUGGACAGACCACGCCUCAUCUCUGAUGAUGCCCUCAGGCUUCACAGGUGCGCUCUCAUGGACAUAGCAAGGCUGAGGCGUGACUGCUGGGCAGAGGUGAAACUAUGAGGAAGGAGGAGGCUCAGAGGAGACACUUCAAGACAAAAAGAAGUCUUUCUUGGUGCUGCUGAGGGACAGAGGUGAGAGGAAGAGGUAAAGUGGUGAUGGUGAAGUUUCUGGAGCAUCCUUCCUGGGCACGGAGUGAGGCUGCAGGUUCUACUCCUGGGCAGCCGCGGUGGCUGCCAGUGGUGAU